rnacentral:rRNA from 1 species
GCGAAAACUUUACAAUGGGGGAAACCCCGAUGAGGGAAUUCCAAGUGCCAGCACAUUGUGUUGGCUGUUCUCUGGUCUAAAAAACCGGAGAAGUAAGGGCCGGGUAAGACGGGUGCCAGCCGCCGCGGUAAUACCCGCGGCCCAAGUGGUGGUCGAUAUUAUUGAGCCUAAAACGUCCGUAGCCGGUUUUGUAAAUCCUUGGGUAAAUCGACCAGCUUAACUGUUCGAAGUCCGGGAAGACUGCAAGACUUGGGAUCGGGAGAGGUGAGAGGUACUUCUGGGGUAGGGGUGAAAUCUUGUAAUCCUUGUAGGACCACCAGUGGCGAAGGCGUCUCACCAGAACGGACCUGACGGCAAGGGACGAAAGCUAGGGGCACGAACC